rnacentral:rRNA from 1 species
CCUACGGGAGGCAGCAGUGAGGAAUAUUGGGCAAUGGACGAGAGUCUGAACCAGCCAAGUAGCGUGAGGGAUGACUGCCCUCUGGGUGGUAAACUUCUUUUAUAGAGGAGUAAAACGAGGCACGUGUGCCUUUUUGCAUGUACUUUAUGAAUAAAGAUCGGCUAACUCCGUGCCAGCAGCCGCGGUAAUACGGAGGAUCCGAGCGUUAUCCGGAUUUAUUGGGUUUAAAGGGAGCGUAGAUGGGUUGUUAAGUCAGUUGUGAAAGUUUGCGGCUCAACCGUAAAAUUGCAAUUGAUACUGGCAGGCUUGAGUACAGUUGAGGUAGGCGGAAUUCGUGGUGUAGCGGUGAAAUGCUUAGAUAUCACGAAGAACCCCGAUUGCGAAGGCAGCUUACUAAACUGUGACUGACAUUGAUGCUCGAAAGCGCGGGUAUCGAACAGGAUUAGAUACCCAAGUAGUC